AGCUACAACGUCUGAGAACGG
rnacentral:misc_RNA from 1 species